CUGAGCUCCACUCCCCGAGUUUCUGAUUCAGUAAGUCUGGUGUAAGGCCUAAGAAUGUGCAUUUCUACAGUGUUCUCAGGUGAUACUGAUGCUGCAGGUUUGGGGACCAUAUUUUGAGAACCAAUAUAUUCUAUUUUAAUUCCACCAUUAAUGAUUAUUUUUUAUUUUAUUUUUUUGAGACAGGGCCUCACUCUGUUCCCCAGGCUGGAGUGCAGUGGUGCAAUCAUUGUAACCUUGAACUCCUGGGCUCAAACGGACCUCAUGCCUCAGCCUCCUGAGUAGCUGGGACUGUAGACCCAGGCCACCACCACACCUAAUUUUUUUUUCUUUUUAGACACAGAGUCUUGCUGUGUUGCUCAAGCUGACCUCCAACUUCUAGGCUCAAGUGAUCCUUCCACCUCGACCUCCCGAAGUGUUGGAAUAACAGGUGUGAGCCUGCACCCCAGCCUAAUUCCACCAUUAAUUUGUCUCAGCAACUCCUUUGUUGCCAACUUUUACCGGACCCAUGGGUCUGAAAGAGAAACACAGUCCAUAGUGUUCCAGCUUUGAGUGUGGCUCUCUCAGAAGCAGGUGUGACAGCUGCCUCCUCGCUAAGAGAAAGACGUUUCAGUGUCUGCCUCCUGGGAAUGGAGUCUCCUGGUGACUCUGAGGAUGGCGCAGGACUCUCCCAGCUAACACUACACAGAGGCUCCCCAUCUUCAUGCCACCCCUUUGCCAGCUGCAGCCUGUGUGGACCCAGACACUUCUGACCCAGGCUCCAGUGCCCGCAUGUCUGAUAGCCUGUAUUUCAAACUCUGGGCUCCCCUGGACAUUCCCUCUCCAGCUGUGUGUGAUGUUAUUUUUCAGACCCAUUUACUGUUGUCCAGUGGCCUGCCAAGACCUUUAGGUGAAGAUGCUGACUCCCUCGCCGGCUCUUCUUCAUUCUUUUCAAACACACGUCAGAGUGGAACGCACAUCCCUUUUGCUUCACCUUCCAGCUUCAAGUAAUUACAUGAGAGCUGUUCAAACUUGAGCAUGCGUCAGAAUCACCAGAGGGCUGGAUAAAACUGAGAUUGCUGAGCUCCACUCCCCGAGUUUCUAUUCAGUAAGUCUGGUGUAAGGCCUAAGAAUGUGCAUUUCUACAGUGUUCUCAGGUGAUGCUGAUGCUGCAGGUUUGGGGACCAUAUUUUGAGGACCAAUACAUUCUAUUUUAAUUCCACCAUUAAUAGUUAACUUUUAUUUUUUAGAGACAGGGCCUCGGUCUGCUGCCUAGGCUGGAGUGCAGUGGUGCAAUCAUUGUAACCUUGAACUCCUGGGCUCAAACGGACCUCAUGCCUCAGCCUCCUGAGUAGCUGGGACUGUAGACCCAGGCCACCACCACGCCUGGCUAAUUUUUUUUUCUUUCGUAGACACAGGGUCUUGCUGUCUUGCCCAGACUGGCCUCCAACUUCUAGGCUCAAGUGAUCCUUCCACCUUGACCUCCCGAAGUGUUGGAAUAACAGGUGUGAGCCUGCACCCCAGCCUAAUUCCACCAUUAAUUUGUAAGUGGUUUCCGCUAUGUUUAAAACUUAGCAGAAGCCGCAACUUUCCCUCAGCAAACCAGGGAACAGGCAGUAACCAAGUUCUCAAGACACCUUCUUAAUUAACUACUUAACCAGCGCUAGCUGCAUGCAAUUGAACACUGAGGAAGACAACUUUCAGGUACCAGGAGUUAGGAGCCAAGGCCCCGGGCAGGCGCCGUUUCUUCCAUGCAGCCUUCCCUGAUUCCCUGUUUGGUGGUGGUUUUCCUUUCUCUCUGCCUUCAGAAUGCAUUGCCUGCUUCUCCAUUACAGCAUUCACUGUGUGUCAUCCUGAAUUGUGGGUAUGAGUUGUAAGUCUUACAUGUUCUUGUAAACUUCUUAACAGUGAGGACUGGGUCACCCAGGAAAGUGGUUUGCAACAUGGUAGGUUCCUGAGGUUUGCUGGAUUGAAAUGAAUUUUAAGUUUUAAAUGUUAAGUUCUUAUCUUACUAUUUCAAACUCUCAUCACGGCCAAUUCCAGGUGAUGCUCUUUCCUGGGUUCCAAACGACACAGGGGCUUACUGGGGUGAAGGAGAGCUCCCCAGCACCGGGGCCUGGGAGCAGCUUGUGGCU
rnacentral:lncRNA from 1 species